CUAACCACAAGGAAGGUGGCGGCGGCCGUUCAACGACAAAGUGAUAACUUGGUACCGGUAGAGAAGAUUCCCAAAAGUGGGUACCAGUAUUAAAUAUACAUGGUACGGUACGGUUUGGUACCAGUACCGGUUCAGUGCCGAUAUUUGAGGGUAAAUACCGGUAGCGUACCAGACCGGUACUGAAAAGUACUCAGGCCUGCCCUUAGCCACUCAUGGAGUCAAACAAGUGUCUAGCAGAAACCAUUGGGAAAACCAUUGGUAUGUUGCCUUUAUUAUGGAAGCGGUUGUGUGAGGCAAGGUUUUGCCUAAGUCCACAACCCACUAUUCUGGUUGUGCCUUUGGUGACUCUCCAAUUACAUUCAACCUUUGUGGAAUUCAAAUAUCGUCAUGUGCCGGAACAUGCUCUAACCUAGUACAUACACUCAUCAAAGGACGGUUGCUAGCCAAGCAUUGGCUCUGCCACAACCAUCUCAAGCCAUGUCUGCAUUUGUUGUGCCAACAACACCUAGUAACACCUGAACAACAAUAUUAUCAACAUGAUUAUGAACAAUAUUUUCAUCAGGUGUACCAAUAAUAUGGUCAAUGUACACUAACAACAUCAACAAUUUUAUCAGCACUAGCUUGUUCAGUCCGCUCCCGCUCCUGAUGUGACAACACCCGAACAAUACUACCAGCAAUAUCAAGAAUAUUUUCAACAGCAUUCUGCUCAGCCCACACCUACGGUGCCAACACCUUAACAACAAUACUACUCAUAUCAACACCAAUUUGCUACUUAACUACAAAGGUCCAUAGAUGCAGAGGUUGUUGCGUUGUGUCUGCUAGAUGCAAAAAGAGAAAAAGUGGAGAAAUUGAUGAACACGAGAUGCCGCCAAAAAAAUAUCGUAUAAUCAAAUCGAAACACCAACCCGAUGACACAAUAAUGUCAAGCAUGAAAAAUAUGUCUUUUAUUGGACAUGAUCGAAUACCGCAAGGCGCAUAACAGCAACCCGGAUACGACGCAACACAUUUGGAAAGAUUUUUUGAAGAUUGGAUUAAAUCACAAAAAAAAUGUGAGAAUUUGAAAGAGUUGGCUACUAAAAUCCAAAAAGUGUGCAAAGAGUUCUAUGCUGACUUAAGGAGUCGGCUAAAGUAAAGAGAGUAUAGCUAUGAGAUGGACCCUGUCAAUCAGCUAGCAUAUGAACCUUAACAUGACUGAAGGUCUCAUAUUGUUGGUUGAGAAUUUCAUGGGUGUUUUCAAUCAUAUCAUUUGUUCCACCAAAUUGUUCUUUUAAAGCAACCCACAACUCCUUUGCACUAUUACAGUGUAAUAGUCCAAAUGUUAAUUCUUCUUUCAGCCACUCAUUGUGUUAAACAAGUAUCUAGCAGAAACUAUUGGGAAUAUCAAUGUACGUUGCCUUUAUUAUGGAAGCGGCUGGGUGUGACAAGGUCCGUUGUCUAAGCCCAAAACCCACUAUUUUGGUUGUGCCUUUAGUGACUCUCUAGUUACAUUCAACCUUUGUGGAAUUCAAACAGUGCAUUGUCAUGUGCCGGAACAUGUUCUAACCUGUAAUGCCAAAGUAGUUAGUUAGUUUUCCUUAACAUUCUUUGUAUUUCUGAAUUUCUU